rnacentral:rRNA from 1 species
UGAACGCUGGCGGCGUGCCUAAUACAUGCAAGUCGAGCGAACAGAUGAGGAGCUUGCUCCUCUGCCGUUAGCGGCGGACGGGUGAGUAACACGUGGUUAACCUACCUAUAAGACUGGGAUAACUUCGGGAAACCGGAGCUAAUACCGGAUAAUAUAUUGAACCGCAUGGUUCAAUAGUGAAAGACGGUUUUGCUGUCACUUAUAGAUGGAUCCGCGCCGCAUUAGCUAGUUGGUAAGGUAACGGCUUACCAAGGCAACGAUGCGUAGCCGACCUGAGAGGGUGAUCGGCCACACUGGAACUGAGACACGGUCCAGACUCCUACGGGAGGCAGCAGUAGGGAAUCUUCCGCAAUGGGCGAAAGCCUGACGGAGCAACGCCGCGUGAGUGAUGAAGGUCUUCGGAUCGUAAAACUCUGUUAUUAGGGAAGAACAAAUGUGUAAGUAACUAUGCACGUCUUGACGGUACCUAAUCAGAAAGCCACGGCUAACUACGUG